rnacentral:rRNA from 1 species
GCUGGCGGAAUGCUUUACACAUGCAAGUCGAACGGCAGCAUAGAGAGCUUGCUCUCUGAUGGCGAGUGGCGAACGGGUGAGUAAUAUAUCGGAACGUACCUAGUAAUGGGGAACAACCAGCCGAAAGGUUGGCUAAUACCGCAUACGACCUACGGGUGAAAGCAGGGGAUCUUCGGACCUUGCGUUAUUAGAGCGGCCGAUAUCUGAUUAGGUAGUUGGUGGGGUAAAGGCCUACCAAGCCGACGAUCAGUAGCUGGUCUGAGAGGACGAUCAGCCACACUGGAACUGAGACACGGUCCAGACUCCUACGGGAGGCAGCAGUGGGGAAUUUUGGACAAUGGGGGCAACCCUGAUCCAGCCAUUCCGCGUGAGUGAAGAAGGCCUUCGGGUUGUAAAGCUCUUUCGCAAGAGAAGAAAUCUUACUAUCGAAUAAAUAGUAAGGAUGACGGUAUCUUGACAAGAAGCACCGGCUAACUACGUGCCAGCAGCCGCGGUAAUACGUAGGGUGCGAGCGUUAAUCGGAAUUACUGGGCGUAAAGCGUGCGCAGGCGGUUUUAUAAGUCAGAUGUGAAAUCCCCGAGCUCAACUUGGGAACUGCGUUUGAAACUGUAAGACUAGAGUGUGUCA